rnacentral:rRNA from 1 species
GACUCUUAGCGGUGGAUCACUCAGCUCAUGCAUCGAAAAAUGCAGCUAGCUGUGAGAAUUAAUAUGAAUUGCAGGACACAUUGAUCAUCGACACUUUGAAUGCACUUGUGGCCCCAGGUUCCUCCCAUGUCUAUGCCUGUCUGAGUGUUG